CCUCCUUCGGGAGGGGAUUAGUGGCGAACGGGUGAGUAACACGUGGGCAAUCUGCCCUGCACUCUGGGACAAGCCCUGGAAACGGGGUCUAAUACCGGAUACUGACCCGCUUGGGCAUCCAAGCGGUUCGAAAGCUCCGGCGGUGCAGGAUGAGCCCGCGGCCUAUCAGCUUGUUGGUGAGGUAAUGGCUCACCAAGGCGACGACGGGUAGCCGGCCUGAGAGGGCGACCGGCCACACUGGGACUGAGACACGGCCCAGACUCCUACGGGAGGCAGCAGUGGGGAAUAUUGCACAAUGGGCGAAAGCCUGAUGCAGCGACGCCGCGUGAGGGAUGACGGCCUUCGGGUUGUAAACCUCUUUCAGCAGGGAAGAAGCGAAAGUGACGGUACCUGCAGAAGAAGCGCCGGCUAACUACGUGCCAGCAGCCGCGGUAAUACGUAGGGCGCGAGCGUUGUCCGGAAUUAUUGGGCGUAAAGAGCUCGUAGGCGGCUUGUCACGUCGGUUGUGAAAGCCCGGGGCUUAACCCCGGGUCUGCAGUCGAUACGGGCAGGCUAGAGUUCGGUAGGGGAGAUCGGAAUUCCUGGUGUAGCGGUGAAAUGCGCAGAUAUCAGGAGGAACACCGGUGGCGAAGGCGGAUCUCUGGGCCGAUACUGACGCUGAGGAGCGAAAGCGUGGGGAGCGAACAGGAUUAGAUACCCUGGUAGUCCACGCCGUAAACGGUGGGCACUAGGUGUGGGCGACAUUCCACGUCGUCCGUGCCGCAGCUAACGCAUUAAGUG
rnacentral:rRNA from 1 species